rnacentral:sRNA from 2 species
AUGUUGCACGACUGCGGGGGGAUGAGAACCCCCGACCGGGGUUCGACAACUGGCGCAGCCAGUUGGACAGACUGUGAGCGAAGCGAACAGGCUGCCCGCAGGGCGAGCGAAGCGAGUCAAUCCCCCCCUCACCGCCA